rnacentral:misc_RNA from 1 species
GAUGAAGAACGCAGCGAAAUGCGAUAAGUAAUGUGAAUUGCAGAAUUCAGUGAAUCAUCGAAUCUUUGAACGCACCUUGCGCCCUUUGGCCAUUCCGAAGGGCAUGCCUGUUUGAGUAUCAUGAACACCUCAACUCUUCAUGGUUUUCCAUGAUGAGCUUGGACUUUGGGGGUCUUGCUGGCCUGUGGGUCGGCUCCUCUCAAAUGAAUCAGCUUGCCGGUUUUUGGUGGGCAUCACAGGUGUGAUAACUAUCUACGCUUGUGGUUUUCCACUAGGGUAACCUUCAGCAGUGGAGGUUCACUGGAGCUUACAAAUGUCUCUCCUCUGUGAGGACAGCCCUUUGAAUGUUUGAUCACAAAUCAGGUAGGACUACCCGCUGAACUUAAGCAUAUCAAUAAGCGGAGGA